UAUUGUUUUGUCAGUUUGUAUUGACAGCAGCAGGUAGCCUGGCAGAGCAAGUUAUUGAUUCCAUCAGAGGAGAGUGGAAUGGAGGAGGACCUGGAAAAGUUCCAAUAUUUUAUGCAGCAGACACGCUAUCGAUGUUUGUGCUGCGCUUUAUCCCAAAUGUGAGAAAAGAACAGUGACAAGUUCAGCCAACUUCUGCAUCAGGUCUCCUUUUCAUGGUUUCCCUUCAACGGAAAAAUAAUUGAAUCUACAUUACAUUGUUCUCCUAUGGAAACCCUUCUUUGUACAAAUGUUUGAGUAUAUAUAUGUAAGUGUAAUUUUAUACUGUAAUAUGACUAGCUUUUUAAAUGUAAAUAAGGUGCAAAGUAA